GUUCCUACUUUCUCUAAAAACUUGGUCAAAGAUCAUAUCACCAUGAUCACUAUCCCCAUUCCUCAUUUGAUGGCAUACAUGCAUCACAUGUACUGCAAAAAUCUUUUUUUUCCUUUUUGCAAACAUAUACACACAGACAACAUAUGUAACUUUGAAAACCCUCCCUUCACAAAACAAAUACACGCACAACAACAGACACCCUUUGAUUUUCCCUUCUCUCUCUUCACACAUGUCACCGGAGAUCAUGAUUCCGGCUCUGGCGGCACCUGUUGCCGACGCCCCUCCACCGACGCGACACACCCACACAACCCCCUUCGUUCCUCGUUCUGACGGGACACCCACAGAACCCCCACCCCGUUUCAUUUUAUAUCCACCAUACACCCCCUCCUAUUGCAGACGAUUAAACGGCCACCACCGGUUGGUGGUGGCGUACGGUGGUGCCAGAUGACGGUUCAAGUAGAGUGAUCAGACUAAGAAAGCUGAUUUGAGGGGAGAGAGACCCGCGACACCGGAAUGUCGGUGGUUGGAGAACGGCUGAUGGCGAUGGCGGUGCCUCAGAACUCCGGCAGCCGUGGCUUCAUCGGUAAGAGCAACUGUUUUAGUUUUAUUUUUCUUUUCGAUUGCUGAACGGUAAUCAAGUGCACUCAUAAUUCUCCUUAUUUUCCGAUGGGUUUUUGGGGAUUCUGGCGAGCUCUUGGUACGUUGAUGGAUCUGGAGUUAAAGAUGUUAAUGGGAGCCAUGUGGAAUUUGAUUUGGAUUCAAUGGUGUCUAAAUCAAGCCACUGAUUUGGAUUUUGUUAUGUGAAAUCGAAAAGUGGUAAUCGGGACAACUUGUGGGUCAAGUACUCUGGGUCAACACAGUCAACACCCGGUCCACAUGGUCAAAACCCGAGUCAACUCGGGUCAACAGCGGUCAAACAGGUCAAACGCGGUCGACUUAGGACCCGGAAUGCUUUAGUUGCACGCUAGCGAGUCACGUCUUGGAAACGACAUCACAGAAUCACGAUAACUAGCUUUGCACAAGAAUGUCAAGGUUGCAUUUUCAAAACUAUGGAACGGUUGGAAUAGGAGAACCCAUGGGAAGUCGAGUACUUAGCGGCGUUCAUUUUCUAGAAGUCUUAGCUAAUUGCUUCCGCUGUGCAAUGAAGAUACCGGUCCAGUCACGCCAUGCUCUGAUAAUUUCGGGGUGUGACACACGUACUCAACCCCGUUUACAAAGAAAGUUCCUUUGGGUCCUAUACCAUUUACCCGAUCAUUGAAAAGAGGCGAGUGGUUUAUGAUGGUAAUAUCAUUAUGUGAACCUGGCAUACCGAAGAACGCAUGCCAUAUCCAAAGAUCUUGGGACGCAACUGCUUCAAGCAUGAUGGCUGGCACCCCGUGAAAUCCACUAGUGUGAGCGCCUUACCAUUGGGUAGGACAAAGUUCACAAGGCCAUUUCAUACAAUCUAACUACCUAGCAUCCGGGUAGCCCAUGAUAAUCUGCGUGAUGUUCCAAUAUUUGUUGCAUGUCACUAAACGAGGGCUUUCUCAAAUAUCUUUUCCUAUAAAGUUCUAGAAUACACGAACAAAAGUUGUGAAGACUUUCACUAGCUACACGUGCAGACAUUUUUAAAUAGUCAUCCAUAAUGUCCGAACUAUUGUCGUACGCUAACUGCCUAAGUGCGGCCAUGACCUUUUGCCACGUACUAAAUCCUAAUUGCCUGGUUACAUCGGGUUUUUGUUGGAAAUAAACAUACUUCUCCUCA